GGAACAUCUUUGCUUUUUGACUGUUUAUAUCAACCAAUGUAAGUUCCACAGGCAUACAAUAUAGGUUUGCUUUUUGGUUCAGUCUCAAUUUCAGUUUGUUUAUUGUAUUUGGAGCCAAGUGUAGAUGAACAAACUCAAUAUGAUUGCUUGUGUUGGGAAUUCUCUGCUGAUUAGAAUUAUGAAUUGGGAAAAACAUGGGUGUUCAUGUUCACGGGGAAGACUUCGGACAUGGCGAUGCUAUAUAGGAUAGGAUGAAUUGCUUGGAUUGGAUGAGGACCCCUAGAGUGAUGCAGUCUUUAAAAAUCAAGGUCUUAAUAUGGAUGUGCUAUACCGUACUGGUGAAAUACAACAGGUGGGAAAUUUUGACAUUAAGUUCUUGCAAUCUACGAGAGCAUUG